CGAAAGCCUGACGGAGCAAUACCGCGUGAGGGAGGAAGGCUCUUGGGUUGUAAACCUCUUUUCUCAGGGAAGAAAAAAAUGACGGUACCUGAGGAAUAAGCAUCGGCUAACUCCGUGCCAGCAGCCGCGGUAAUACGGAGGAUGCAAGCGUUAUCCGGAAUGAUUGGGCGUAAAGGGUCCGCAGGUGGCUAUGUAAGUCUGCUGUUAAAGAACCUAGCUUAACUAGGUAAAAGCAGUGGAAACUACAAGGCUAGAGUGCGUUCGGGGUAGAGGGAAUUCCUGGUGUAGCGGUGAAAUGCGUAGAUAUCAGGAAGAACACCAGUGGCGAAGGCGCUCUACUAGGCCGCAACUGACACUGAGGGACGAAAGCUAGGGGAGCGAAUGGGAUUAGAUACCCCAGUAGUCCUAGCCGUAAACGAUGGAUACUAGGCGUGGCUUGUAUCGACCCAAGCCGUGCCGUAGCUAACGCGUUAAGUAUCCCGCCUGGGGAGUACGCACGCAAGUGUGAAACUCAAAGGAAUUGACGGGGGCCCGCACAAGCGGUGGAGUAUGUGGUUUAAUUCGAUGCAACGCGAAGAACCUUACCAAGACUUGACAUGUCGCGAAUCUUCUUGAAAGGGAAGAGUGCCUUCGGGAGCGCGAACACAGGUGGUGCAUGGCUGUCGUCAGCUCGUGUCGUGAGAUGUUGGGUUAAGUCCCGCAACGAGCGCAACCCUCGUUUUUAGUUGCCAGCAUUAAGUUGGGCACUCUAGAGAGACUGCCGGUGACAAACCGGAGGAAGGUGGGGAUGACGUCAAGUCAGCAUGCCCCUUACGUCUUGGGCUACACACGUACUACAAUGCUACGGACAAAGGGUAGCUACACAGCAAUGUGAUGCCAAUCUCAGAAACCGUAGCUCAGUUCAGAUCGCAGGCUGCAACUCGCCUGCGUGAAGUCGGAAUCGCUAGUAAUUGCAGGUCAGCAUACUGCAGUGAAUCCGUUCCCGGGCCUUGUACACACCGCCCGUCACACCAUGGAAGCUGGUCACGCCCGAAGUCGUUACCCCAACUUUUCGGAGAGGGGGAUGCCGAAGGCAGGUCUGGUGACUGGGGUGAAGUCGUAACAAGGUAGCCGUACCGGAAGGUGUGGCUGGAUCACCUCCUUUUAGGGAGACC
rnacentral:rRNA from 1 species